UGUCUCUCUUGUUGUUCUUGCUGUUGCUGCUGGCGUUGACACCCACCCACACAGAUGCAGGGCGAGUGUGCCGACAGUGUGUGUGUGUGAGUGUGUGUGACUGUUAGUGCCGAGUGUUAAACCGCAUUGUUUGAAUGCAGCGCUGAGCGAACAAUGUAAAUUGCCAGCGAAACUCUGACAACUACACUGGGAAAAUAAGUAAAUGAAGAAGAAAGUAAUUGAUAAACUAUAUAGAUCAAUUAGUUUUAAGGACAUCAUCUUAUAACAAGGAAGAAAGCUGCAGGUCUUUACCGUUCCAGAAAUAUAAGACAGGACAACGCGGCAGUACCAGGACACGAAAACGAAAACGAACACGAACAGGGACAUGGACAUGGAUUCUGGAGCACAGACGGAACGCAACAAAGCCGUCUCAGAUGAAGCAGCUCCAGGGAGAGGGCAGAGCAACAGCAACAGCAACUCCUUUUUACAGUCAAACAUACAGAAAAAGGAUACACAGGAAGAAAUGCCGAACCUUUAUCAAUGACUUUUGGAACUCUUUAAGCCCGUUUUAAAGUCUCCAAAUUGUCCAAAACCUCUAGUUGCCUUGCCUUAAGUUUAAUAUCCCUAAGAGUAACCCAUUUUCUUGCCGUGCCCUCUCACACACGGCCUCGGCGAAGACAAUGACAAUACAAACAUCGGGUAACGGGGAAAAAUG